UAAGAAGUGAAGAGCAGUGGAGGAAAAGGAAUCAUCCGAAUGGCAGAAAGUAAGACUUAUGCACCAACCCCAAUGGCAUGCAGUAUCCUGUAAUAAAGGCACUGGGACAGUGAGAGUGCUAAUUUCAUCAUCUUAGUGGAAGAUCUCUGUAGGACUAGAUUCUUCCUCUGGUCAUUUUCUUCCCUCCUUGACUAUUUUGAUGACACAAAUCAAAAUCUGUGGUGACAGGGAAAGGAAGAACCAGAAAAGUCAUUAUUUGCAUUCAACAGCUGAAGACUUGCAAAGGAUUCCAGAAUGUAGUGUGAUCAUGGAGCAUGUGGGCUUUUCUGCGAAUACCAAAAUGCAAGUUUAACAUUUAAACAAGUAUCAGAUAAAAAUGCAUGUACUAACUUUUGAAGCCAUACUUUUCAAGUGUGAAAUAUGUUAAAAGACAGUUUUAAGUACAACACUAAUUAGACGAACACUUUAACUUAGUGGAUACAAGAUGUCUGUGCAAAUGUCUUCCUGCAGAACCAAAUGAAUCCGUGGUAUAAUGUGCAAUGAAAAAGCAAGAGAGAAUGUAGCAGUGGAAGUUUCCUUUACCACUUCUAACCUCUUACACAUUUUACUGUUUUGAGACUUCAAACACACAAAAUCUCUGGCUUCAAUUGUAUCUAGCCAGAGGGAAAUGUAAAUUACAUUAAAACUACAUCAAAAACUGUAUUAAAAAUUAUAGUUUGAAAACUAUUAGAAGUUGUAAUUUUGUAUACACUUAGAUGAAUUAAGCACAUAUUCAUCACAUUAAGAUGUCUGCAUGUACUCCAACCCCCCACUGCAAUACGGAUGCUUCCAGUUCAGUUUUCAAGACAUGUUUUCCUUUAGAAUCUAGGUUCAGUUUUCUUUCUUCCAUCCUCUUCUCUGUGGAAGUUUCUGCACAGGAUGUGCUUCCAAGAAUGAAGUCCUUUUAUUGGGCACUGACCAGAGCAUAGUUGGAUAGGGUGUAGAUAUGAACUUCAAAAUUUUCUAUUAUUUUGUAUUUUUCAUUUGCAAUACUUUUGCAAU
ensembl:lncRNA